rnacentral:rRNA from 1 species
AGAGAGAGACAUGCGCGCAUAUCAAUAAGCGGAGGAAAAGAAACUAACUAGGAUUCCCUCAGUAACGGCGAGUGAAGCGGGAAGAGCUCAAAUUUGAAAUCUUCAAGGUUCUACCUUGACGAAUUGUAGUUUAAAGAAGUGUUUUCUGUUGAAGUUUUGGUAAAAGUUCUUUGGAAUAGGACAUCAUAGAGGGUGAGAAUCCCGUAUUUGACCAUUAUUUCCAGCUUUGUGAUACACUUUCAAAGAGUCGGAUUGUUUGGGAAUGCAGUCCAAGAUGGGUGGUAAAUUUCAUCUAAAGCUAAAUAUUGGCGAGAGACCGAUAGCGAACAAGUACCGUGAGGGAAAGAUGAAAAGAACUUUGAAAAGAGAGUUAAACAGUACGUGAAAUUGUCAAAAGGGAAGCGUUUGACACCAGUGUUGUUUUCUCGAAAAUCAAUUAAAAAGAGUUAGGAUUUUGUUGUGUAUUGACCUUAUCAGCUUCUGCAUUUCAUUUUCUUGUCUUUUUUAAUGCACUUUUCGUUUAACAAGUCAACAUCAAUUUCUUUUGUUGUAAAAAGGGUCAUUGGAAGGUGGCUUUCUUUUCGGAGAAAGUGUUUAUAGCCUUUGGCCUCUGCAAUCGGAGAGAUUGAGGUCUGCAGCGUAGAUCCUUCGGGGUUAGAUACAUUUGUGCUAAGUUAUAGCCUUUCAUAGACAACUUGUUGACUAUGAUCAGUCAUGUAGCUUACUCGCUUAUGCUAUUUUACCUACGCUUAGGAUGUUGAUGUGAUACUGCGAGC